rnacentral:tRNA from 1 species
AGUCAAGAUAAUCAAUGUUUUCACACCGGUCUUGAAAACCGGCGUGCAGGAGACUGUACCGUGGGUUCGAAUCCCACCCCCUCCGCCA